UUUUAUACUUCUAGUCAGCUGAUGAUGGAUCUGAAAUUGUGGCUCUCAAUUCUGAUGGUUUGUGGAAUGGCUGAAUCUCAAAUCUUGGGCAAGGACUGGCUCAUAAAUGUGCCAUCAAGAAUCCCUGUUCUUGAAAGCUCAUGUGUGGUCAUUCCCUGUGUAUACUCGUGUCCCAAGA